rnacentral:sRNA from 1 species
GUAUGUCAUUGAAAGUGCCCGACAGAGACCUCCUAAAAGGAAAUACCUAUCAAGUGGAAGAAAAUCUGUAUUUCAAAAACUUUAUGACUUGUAUAUUGAAGAAUGUGAAAAAGAACCUGAGGUUAAGGUAAGUAUACAUUUUUAUUGUGUUGUAGCUUUUGAAAUGUAGAAGAGAGGAAUAUGGAGGAGUUACAUCUGGAGUAUUAUUUUUUUGUGUGUGAUGAACUAACAUCUUUUUUAACCUGACCCUAGUCAAUUCUGUAGCUGACCCAGAGCUCUGGCUAAUCUGGCACCAGGCAGAGAUCACCUGCUGAGGUAGGAGUGAAGGAACAGUUAUAUUGAGUAUCAGACUGUCUCACUAGGAAGUCAUAAGCAAAGCCACAGUAUAUAUUAUCUUUUGCUUCUUCUUCCCCCUGAGAAGUGAUUUAUGAAUUUAUAGCACUUCCUCCUGAGAAGUUAUUUACAAAUUUAUAGCAGUAACCUGUUUUCUCGUGAUGAUUUGAACUGGAAAGCCAGAGCUAUUACAGAGCAUGUAUGAAAUUCAAGUACAGUAAUAAAAACUGAGUUUGAUCAUAAAACGAGUUCAUGGCCAAUUUAACUUAAUUCAUUUUUAUUUGGCAUAAAGAUAUGGGUAGUCGAAAUGUAACAGAAGUCGAUUUAUUGAUGUCUUGGAGCCCUCGGGUUGGAAGGGCCUAAAUGUCUCUAUGAGCUUUUGUUGUCUGUCUUUAAAAAUGAAUACAGUUUUACUAUUUAGGCCAAAAACAGUGGAAUUCCAGUAGUGUCUAACUUUAAAAUCUU